UAGAGUUUGAUCAUGGCUCAGAUUGAACGCUGGCGGCAUGCCUUACACAUGCAAGUCGAACGGUAACGCGGGGCAACCUGGCGACGAGUGGCGAAUGGGUGAGUAAUGUAUCGGAACGUGCCCGGUAGUGGGGGAUAGCCCGGCGAAAGCCGGAUUAAUACCGCAUGAGACCUGAGGGUGAAAGCGGGGGAUCGCAAGACCUCGCGCUAUUGGAGCGGCCGAUAUCAGAUUAGGUAGUUGGUGGGGUAAAGGCCUACCAAGCCGACGAUCUGUAGCUGGUCUGAGAGGACGACCAGCCACACUGGGACUGAGACACGGCCCAGACUCCUACGGGAGGCAGCAGUGGGGAAUUUUGGACAAUGGGCGCAAGCCUGAUCCAGCCAUGCCGCGUGCGGGAAGAAGGCCUUCGGGUUGUAAACCGCUUUUGUCGGGGAAGAAAUCCCUUGGGCUAAUACCUCGGGGGGAUGACGGUACCCGAAGAAUAAGCACCGGCUAACUACGUGCCAGCAGCCGCGGUAAUACGUAGGGUGCAAGCGUUAAUCGGAAUUACUGGGCGUAAAGCGUGCGCAGGCGGUUGUGCAAGACAGAUGUGAAAUCCCCGGGCUUAACCUGGGAACUGCAUUUGUGACUGCACAGCUGGAGUACGGCAGAGGGGGAUGGAAUUCCGCAUGCAGCAGUGAAAUGCGUAGAUAUGCGGAGGAACACCGAUGGCGAAGGCAGUCCCCUGGNNNUGUACUGAC
rnacentral:rRNA from 1 species